rnacentral:lncRNA from 1 species
CAGGGCGGCGCGGCCUCGGGUGGCGCGGCGGGGCCGUAGAAGCGGUGGUAUUCCCGUGGGGCCGCCCACUCGCCCGCAUGCAGGCUCCCGGGCCGGCUGCGGAAGCUGUGGGCCUGGACUGGGGGUAGCAGCAGAGGGGCGGCCAGGAGUUCAGUGGCAUGACCAGGGCUCACUGCAACCUUGAUCUGGGCUCAAGUGAUCCUCCUACCUCAGCUUCCUGAGUAGCUAGGACCACAGGUGUGCACCAACCACACCCGACUAAUUUUUGUAGAGAUGAGAUCCCACUAUGUUACCCAGGCUGGUCUUGAACUCCUGGGCUCAGGUGAUCAUCCUGCCUUGGCUUCCCAAAGUACUGGGAUUAUAGGCUUGAGCCACCGUGCCUGGCCUGUGAUCAGAAUUCUCAUUUUUUUAGUCACUAAAAAUGCUGGGGGGCACUCCAUUCUCCAUUAUGUGAUUAGUUCACAUUGCAUGCUUGUAUCAAAACAUCAUAUAUACCCCACAAAUAUAUACAAAAAACUUUAAAAUUUUAAGUAUUAAUUGCUCAGGAAAAAAUUAAAAUGCUGGGGUGCUGAAAUCUCAAGGGCCCCAUUACAAAACUCCUUAGGAACCUCGCCCUCUCUCUGCUGUAAGGACUGGUUCCAGAAUGAGAGAAUUUAAAAGACAUUCCCCCCCCAAAAUGUUCAUAAUGUCACCCCGGAAACCUGCGAAUAUGUUAUAUUACAUGACCAGGGAGAAGUAAGGUUGCAGAUGGCAGUAAGGUUGCUAAUGGGCUGACCUUAAGAUAAGGAGAUGAUCCUGGAUUAUCUGGGUGGACCCAAUGUAAUCACAAGGGUCCUUAACUGUGGAAUAGUGAGGUGGCUGAGUCAGAGGCAGAGUGAUGCAAUGACUGAAAGACUUAACCAGCCAUCACCGGCUUUGAAUACGGAAGACGGUCAUGAGCCAGGGAAUGCAGGCAGGCUCUGGGAGCUGAAAAAAGCAAGAAAAUGGAUUCUCCCCUGGAGCCUCCAGAAGGGAUGCGGUCCUGCCAACCCCUUGUCAGUGAGCCAUUUCAGAUUUCUGACUUCCAGGACUGUAAGAAAAUAAACUUGUCUUGUUUUCAGCCACC